rfam:Schistosoma mattheei strain Denwood, Zambia genome assembly, scaffold: SMTD_scaffold0000332
AUCCAACUGUCGAGUCCCAAACAAGACGAAACGCGUGUCCACGAU